rnacentral:rRNA from 1 species
GAUGAACGCUGGCGGCGUGCCUAAUACAUGCCAGUCGAGCGAACAGACGAGGAGCUUGCUCCUCUGACGUUAGCGGCGGACGGGUGAGUAACACGUGGAUAACCUACCUAUAAGACUGGGAUAACUUCGGGAAACCGGAGCUAAUACCGGAUAAUGUAUUGAACCGCAUGGUUCAAUAGUGAAAGACGGUUUUGCUGUCACUUAUAGAUGGAUCCGCGCCGCAUUAGCUAGUUGGUAAGGUAACGGCUUACCAAGGCAACGAUGCGUAGCCGACCUGAGAGGGUGAUCGGCCACACUGGAACUGAGACACGGUCCAGACUCCUACGGGAGGCAGCAGUAGGGAAUCUUCCGCAAUGGGCGAAAGCCUGACGGAGCAACGCCGCGUGAGUGAUGAAGGUCUUCGGAUCGUAAAACUCUGUUAUUAGGGAAGAACAAAUGUGUAAGUAACUAUGCACGUCUUGACGGUACCUAAUCAGAAAGCCACGGCUAACUACGUG